GUUAAGCGACUAAGCGUACACGGUGGAUGCCCUGGCAGUCAGAGGCGAUGAAGGACGUGCUAAUCUGCGAUAAGCGUCGGUAAGGUGAUAUGAACCGUUAUAACCGGCGAUUUCCGAAUGGGGAAACCCAGUGUGAUUCGUCACACUAUCAUUAACUGAAUCCAUAGGUUAAUGAGGCGAACCGGGGGAACUGAAACAUCUAAGUACCCCGAGGAAAAGAAAUCAACCGAGAUUCCCCCAGUAGCGGCGAGCGAACGGGGAGCAGCCCAGAGCCUGAAUCAGUGUGUGUGUUAGUGGAAGCGUCUGGAAAGGCGUGCGAUACAGGGUGACAGCCCCGUACACAAAAAUGCACAUACUGUGAGCU
rnacentral:rRNA from 2 species